UACGGAGGGUGCGAGCGUUGUCCGGAAUCACUGGGCGUAAAGGGCGCGUAGGCGGCCUGAUAAGUAGGGGGUGAAAUCCUGCGGCUUAACCGCAGGGCUGCCUUCUAAACUGUCAGGCUCGAGCACAGUAGAGGCAGGUGGAAUUCCCGGUGUAGCGGUGGAAUGCGUAGAGAUCGGGAAGAACACCGGUGGCGAAGGCGGUCUGCUGGGCAGUAGCUGACACUGAGGCGCGACAGCGUGGGGAGCAAACAGG
rnacentral:rRNA from 1 species